rfam:Paramecium tetraurelia chromosome undetermined scaffold_72, whole genome shotgun sequence.
AUAUAGGAUUUCCUAAAAUCCAUAUUUUUUAAUAAAUAAAUGAAA